GUGUUUGCAUUUGGAUAAGUUACUGCCUGGAAUCUCUAAAAAUUUGACCCAGUUGGAGCUACUAAUAAAUUAUUUCUUUUUAUGGGAAUUGUUCGUAAAGUAUCUCUACAGCUCACCUAAUCUACAAUCACUUGUCCUAGACCUUCAUAGUACACGGGGGGAAGCAUACAAACCCUUCCAUAUCCACCACCUCCUUGUUUGUCUUCACACAUUAAAACUCUCUCUUUAAAAGGGUUCCAAGGAAAACCUGAUGAGAUGGAGGUGACAAAGUAAUUGUUGAAGUUCGGCUUGGUUUUGAUAAAAAUGACUAUUUCUACUGUGAGUUCUUAUGGUCUCGUC
rnacentral:lncRNA from 1 species